AGACCCGAAACCCGGUGAUCUAGCCAUGGGCAGGUUGAAGGUUGGGUAACACUAACUGGAGGACCGAACCGACUAAUGUUGAAAAAUUAGCGGAUGACCUGUGGCUGGGGGUGAAAGGCCAAUCAAACCGGGAGAUAGCUGGUUCUCCCCGAAAGCUAUUUAGGUAGCGCCUCGUGAAUUCAUCUCCGGGGGUAGAGCACUGUUUCGGCUAGGGGGCCAUCCCGGCUUACCAACCCGAUGCAAACUGCGAAUACCGGAGAAUGUUAUCACGGGAGACACACGGCGGGUGCUAACGUCCGUCGUGAAGAGGGAAACAACCCAGACCGCCAGCUAAGGUCCCAAAGUCAUGGUUAAGUGGGAAACGAUGUGGGAAGGCCCAGACAGCCAGGAUGUUGGCUUAGAAGCAGCCAUCAUUUAAAGAAAGCGUAAUAGCUCACUGGUCGAGUCGGCCUGCGCGGAAGAUGUAACGGGGCUAAACCAUGCACCGAAGCUGCGGCAGCGACGCUGAUGCGUUGUUGGGUAGGGGAGCGUUCUGUAAGCCUGCGAAGGUGUGUCGUGAGGCAUGCUGGAGGUAUCAGAAGUGCGAAUGCUGACAUAAGUAACGAUAAAGCGGGUGAAAAGCCCGCUCGCCGGAAGACCAAGGGUUCCUGUCCAACGUUAAUCGGGGCAGGGUGAGUCGACCCCUAAGGCGAGGCCGAAAGGCGUAGUCGAUGGGAAACGGGUUAAUAUUCCCGUACUUGGUGUUACUGCGAAGGGGGGACGGAGAAGGCUAUGUUGGCCGGGCGACGGUUGUCCCGGUUUAAGCGUGUAGGUGUGUGUUCCAGGUAAAUCCGGUUCACUUUAACACUGAGGCGUGAUGACGAGGCACUACGGUGCUGAAGCAACAAAUGCCCUGCUUCCAGGAAAAGCCUCUAAGCAUCAGGUAACAUCAAAUCGUACCCCAAACCGACACAGGUGGUCAGGUAGAGAAUACCAAGGCGCUUGAGAGAACUCGGGUGAAGGAACUAGGCAAAAUGGUGCCGUAACUUCGGGAGAAGGCACGCUGACACGUAGGUGAAGUGAUUUACUCAUGGAGCUGAAGUCAGUCGAAGAUACCAGCUGGCUGCAACUGUUUAUUAAAAACACAGCACUGUGCAAACACGAAAGUGGACGUAUACGGUGUGACGCCUGCCCGGUGCCGGAAGGUUAAUUGAUGGGGUCAGCGCAAGCGAAGCUCCUGAUCGAAGCCCCGGUAAACGGCGGCCGUAACUAUAACGGUCCUAAGGUAGCGAAAUUCCUUGUCGGGUAAGUUCCGACCUGCACGAAUGGCGUAAUGAUGGCCAGGCUGUCUCCACCCGAGACUCAGUGAAAUUGAACUCGCUGUGAAGAUGCAGUGUACCCGCGGCAAGACGGAAAGACCCCGUGAACCUUUACUAUAGCUUGACACUGAACAUUGAGCCUUGAUGUGUAGGAUAGGUGGGAGGCUUUGAAGUGUGG
rnacentral:rRNA from 3 species